AGUGAACGCUGGCGGUAGGCCUAACACAUGCAAGUCGAACGGCAGCACAGUAAGAGCUUGCUCUUACGGGUGGCGAGUGGCGGACGGGUGAGGAAUACAUCGGAAUCUACUUUUUCGUGGGGGAUAACGUAGGGAAACUUACGCCAAUACCGCAUACGACCUACGGGUGAAAGCAGGGGAUCUUCGGACCUUGCGCGAUUGAAUGAGCCGAUGUCGGAUUAGCUAGUUGGCGGGGUGAAGGCCCACCAAGGCGACGAUCCGUAGCUGGUCUGAGAGGAUGAUCAGCCACACUGGAACUGAGACACGGUCCAGACUCCUACGGGAGGCAGCAGUGGGGAAUAUUGGACAAUGGGCGCAAGCCUGAUCCAGCCAUACCGCGUGGGUGAAGAAGGCCUUCGGGUUGUAAAGCCCUUUUGUUGGGAAAGAAAAGCAGCAGGUUAAUACCCCGCUGUUCUGACGGUACCCAAAGAAUAAGCACCGGCUAACUUCGUG
rnacentral:rRNA from 1 species